rnacentral:rRNA from 1 species
UGGGGAAUUUUCCGCAAUGGGCGAAAGCCUGACGGAGCAACGCCGCGUGAGGGAUGAAGGCCUCUGGGCUGUAAACCUCUUUUCUCAAGGAAGAAGAUCUGACGGUACUUGAUGAAUAAGCCACGGCUAAUUCCGUGCCAGCAGCCGCGGUAAUACGGGAGUGGCAAGCGUUAUCCGGAAUUAUUGGGCGUAAAGCGUCCGCAGGCGGUCUUUUAAGUCUGUCGUCAAAGCGUGGAGCUUAACUCCAUUUCUGCGAUGGAAACUGGGAGACUAGAGUGUGGUAGGGGCAGAGGGAAUUCCCGGUGUAGCGGUGAAAUGCGUAGAUAUCGGGAAGAACACCAGUGGCGAAGGCGCUCUGCUGGGCCAUAACUGACGCUCAUGGACGAAAGCCAGGGGAGCGAAAGGGAUUAGAUACCCCUGUAGU